UAUCCCUGAAUCUAGUCUUUCCAGGCUGGAGAUAUGUGGCCCAAGGGGGAAGUAGCUUGAAGUACCACUGACUUUGUUGUUCUACAGCCACUGGGAUCUGCUGUAGGUCCUUGGAUAACUCUAAGCACUCAGUCCCUUGGAUAUGCUCAGGUCUGAAACUUAAAGACAUGAUUGCUUUUUGCCUUCAGAAGCAGUAGGGCUGCUGGGAAAAUACUUGGGAUGCCCAAAGAGUUCUUCUCUACUUGACCCUGCUCUUCAUGGGAAGGAAGAAGAGGUGCAACUUGUUCUGCAGGACCUUCCCACUCAGCUGUCAAGAGAUGCCUGCCAGCUUUUCUCCUCUGGAUGAGAUCAAGACAGGAUGAUUUAGAUGACAUUACUGAAUUGACAAUGAGAGAAAUGGCUGCUGGAUGCAGCAAGCUGGAGGAGACUUGAGUAAAGGGACACGAUGGCAGAGAAAAGAAGCAGCAAAGCCCUUUCUGUGCAUGAAGACAAGAAACAGACUCUGCAGCUUCUUCUACGGUCAUUGUAAAAACACACAAAGUUUGACAUUUUACUUUGAUCCAGUUGGCCCUACCAAGACAAUACUGAGGCAAGUGGGAUGCAUGGAUUUAUCCUCUUUAUAUUCCUUUUCCUGGCAGCUGGACCAGCCUAGAACAUGAAUUUCAAACUCUGUAAUUAUAUCUACAUCUUUCAUUCCUACAGAAUGCUGACAGAUUAAGGAUGCGAUAAAGACUCUUUUGUCAUAAUAGAAAAGGGCUUGUAUGAGUUUUGCAAUGGAGGUAUGAUAAAGCUCUAAGAGGGCUGUACGAUUUUAUGCUAAUCCCUGAGAAGCAGAUCAAUAUCAAGGCAAAAGGCAUAAUGUUUUUACAAAGGGAGAGAUCAGCACAGAUGUACUCAGAUGAGAGGCAAGGCUACAAUCAAGUUGCCAGGUGAUGUUUGUCGUACAAAUCAUAUAAGAAAAGAUUUCCUCUUGCAGGCACAGUAAUCUUGUUUUUAUUCUUCAGGAACCAUAGAUGUUACGUUCCACAUAGAUGUGGAACGAGCCUAUCUGAACUGGUUUCUACAUCAGGUCUCUGAACUGCUUAUUGCUCUGUGUUGAUGCAUGGAGAUUUAUAUUGCCUGGAGACCACUCACGUACACUUAUGGACAUCAUUAAAAAAUUAAAUAACAUUUAAUCAUGUGCCUCAUGCAGAAUUCAUCAAUGACAGUGGAUAUUUCAAACAAGAGUAGGUUUUCCCCUGCUGUAAAUCAGUACAGA